rnacentral:rRNA from 1 species
GAGUUUGAUCCUGGCUCAGGACGAACGCUGGCGGCGUGCCUAACACAUGCAAGUCAACUUGACGGAAGGAGCAAUCUGACCGUAGAGUGGCGCAAGGGUGCGUAACGCGUAAGUAACUUGCCCCAAGGUAAGGAAUAACGUCGAGAAAUCGGCGCUAAUACCUCAUAAUGCAGCGGAUCCGCAUGGAUAUGUUGUUAAAGGUUUACCGCCUUGGGAUAGGCUUGCGUCUGAUUAGCUAGUUGGUGUGGUAACGGCACACCAAGGCUACGAUCAGUAACUGGUCUGAGAGGAUGAUCAGUCACACUGGAACUGAGACACGGUCCAGACUCCUACGGGAGGCAGCAGUGAGGAAUAUUGGGCAAUGCUCGAAAGAGUGACCCAGCAACGCCGCGUGGAGGAUGAAGGUAUUCUAUAUCGUAAACUCCUGUGAGAGCAGACGAAAGACAGAUUAUUAAUCUGGAUGACUGUAUGCUCAGAGGAAGCCCCGGCUAACUACGUGCCAGCAGCCGCGGUAAUACGUAGGGGGCAAGCGUUGUCCGGAUUCACUGGGUGUAAAGGGCGCGUAGGCGGGAUAGCAAGUCAGUGGUGAAAUCUUGCAGCUCAACUGCAAAACUGCCAUUGAUACUGCUGUUCUUGAAUGUGGAAGAGAGAGGCGGAAUUCCAGGUGUAGUAGUGAAAUACGUAGAUAUCUGGAAGAACACCAAUUGCGAAGGCUGCUUCUUGGUCCAUUAUUGACGCUGAGGCGCGAAAGCGUGGGGAGCAAACAGGAUUAGAUACCCUGGUAGUCCACGCUGUAAACGAUGAGUGCUAGAUGCCGGAUUUUUUCGGUGUCGCAGCUAACGCAUUAAGCACUCCACCUGGGAAGUACGAUCGCAGGUUGAAACUCAAGGAAUUGACGGGGGCCCGCACAAGCAGUGGAGCAUGUGGUUUAAUUCGAUGCAACGCGAAGAAUCUUACCUAGGCUUGAAAAGCUUAUGACCGGCUGUGAAAGCAGCUUUCCCCGCAAGGGCCAUAGGUACAGGUGCUUGCAUGGCUGUCGUCAGUUUCGUGCCGUGAGUGUUGGUAAGUCCCGCAACGAGCGCAUCCUUACAUAAGUUGCCACCGGGAGCAAUUUCGAGUCACUCUAUGUAACUGCCUACGUCAGUAGAGUACGUUAGGAUGACGUCAGUUCCGCAUUGUCCUUACCCCUUAGGGCUAUCUACACAUCGGUGCUUUU